rnacentral:snRNA from 1 species
AUCGCUUCUCAGCCUUUUGGCUAAGAUCAAGUGUCGUAUGCGUUCUAUCAGUUUAAUAUCUGUUACGUCUUCUCUCCAAGGACAAUAUAUUAAAUGGGUUUUUGGAGCAGGGAGAUGGAAUAGGAGUUUGCUCCGGGCACCGUCCUGCUCUUGCAGGUAUCCAGGAACAGCGCACCUCCU